rnacentral:lncRNA from 1 species
CACACGCAGAUGUCAUAUUAUUAUUAAGACAGUUGUCAUUCACACAGGCUAAGAGUAUAUUUACUGUAAUAUUCAUUGGCUGGCAGGCUGGUCUAGAUGCGUUUUGACUGAAUUUUUACUAUAAACGUUGACAUGUUUAAAAAGUUAUCUACGCCGACAGGACAAGCAACAUUGAACUGGUCGGUCUUAGCCUUAGUAGAAGUUGCCAGUGAAUGCACAGAAGACGAACUUCACGAAGACGAAAAAUUUUUCAAAGAAAAUUGUUCAAGUGCUUCAAGUUUAAAGAAAGUUGUGUCAAACGCACUGUCCCUUGUGUUGUGUGCAUUAAAAGGCAUACACUUUGCUAGUCAGAGAGGAGUAUUCCUAGGCUUCAACUGAAUUAGGACACUGAGUCAUUUUCCUUGAGUUGGAAUAAUGAAUAUCGUUUUGUAGGAACAUUAAUCGAAUUCAUAUUAGAGACGGGAAACUCGUCUGAUGCAUGUGAAUCUGGUCACAGACGGGUUUCUGGGCGUCCGAACUUUCCAGUCUAACUUUUCCCGCUAAACAGACGGGUAAGUUGGACGGGAAUCUCGUCUGGCCGAGACGGAUAAAUCAGACGAGUUUCAGAAAUAUCAACACGGUCACGGAAGGUACAAGGCUAAGAAAAAACAAACAAAAUUUUUAUUGUAAUAAUUAAUUACGAUACACUUUUUAGCAUCACCCGAACCAUCACAUCUAAAAAUUUAACCACUCCUAUUCAUAUUUAGACGGGUCAAUUUUGACCAUCAUAUUUAGACCAUCAACUUUCCCGUUGAGUUUGAUGAGUUUCCCGUCUCUAAUAUGAAUUCGGCUAUUGACAGCCACAUUGUCACAUUGCAUUUGACGCAGCAAAAGAUUGUAAGCGAUUUUUGGAAUAAAUUAUUGGAAUCUAUUAGAAAUAUAAAAUCUAUUCUUAUCUGCACUGCCAUUGGGCGCACCAAUACAUAUUCGACCUUCACUUGUUAUUUUUUAAUUUCUUGUCGAUGCAUUAUGUCUUAGGGCCUGUUUACAUGGAGCGCGUUAUCCCAGCUAGGCGAGUUUUGAAGUAGAACGCGCUGUUAAAAUUGCUAGUUAUUGUUUUAGGGUCUGUUUACAUGCAGCAAGGCUUAACCUGAUCAGUCUUUUAUUAUUUGCAGGCGUUUUGCCGUUUUCACCUCGCCUAACCGGGAUAACUCGCUCCAUGUAAACAGAUCCUAAACCUUAACCUAGCCCUAGGCCAUAAUGGCCUAGCACUUAGCACUAAGCUAAAUGCAAAGACUUCUUAAAACGACUCAUUAAAAGUUUAAAUUUUUUAAAGCACACGAAUUGGUGCCAUUGGAAAUUUGAGGACAGUUGAGGCACAGAAUACCUAUCAGAAGGACAUCUCCAUUGUUUUUUGCGGGCUGUUGGCAGGGGGGUUUCUUCCCGUGAUUCAUCACUCAGCAAGUACCGUUAAUGGAAGUAAUCACCCCCCUGCCCAUAUUGAAAAUGGGCUGUUGGCAGAGGGGUGAUUGUCUCCAUUUACGGUACUUGCUGAGUGAUGAAUCCAGAUAGGUAUUUUCUGGUUGAGGUAGCCUCGUAGAUAAUUGUUCAUAUUGGGUUUAAAAUAUUCAAAGUUCACAAUAAUUGAUUACACUGCGUUAAACUUCGCAUUUUUCGGCGUCGCAUCGAAUGCAAUUCAAACAAUAGAUAAUGAGAUGAUAAUGAAGCUUAAUGAGGUCGAUCAUCUCAUUAUCUAUUGUUUGAAUUGCAUUCGACGCGACUAAAAUGCAACGUCUAACACAGCCCUCAGAGUCGCGACGCUAUAUCUAUUUUAUCCUUGAUGAAAAUACAAUUAUUAAAACAAUGGAAGUGGUUUAGGAACAAUAGCGUGCGUGCUUAUAGUUGUUAUAUCGGAUUGGCUGAAAAUAGUUUUAUCACCCAAGCACUAAAAAAUUGUAAACGUGAUUUGGAUAUGAAAGCAGAGUUGCCAGGUUACUGUAUAAAUUAGCCAAAUAUUAUUACCAUAAUCGUUGUUUUCAUUGUUUGAAACAAAGAAAUCAGAGGGCCGACUAUAACAAUGUUUGGCUUCUUUUUUAGCAAUCUGGCAAUCCUGUAUGAAAGUUGUAGUUAAUAUAUGACAGCUGCCAGAUGCAUUGUCACUCUUCAUACAUGGGUAUCUGAAAGUUAAAGAUGAAAGUCAAAUUAAUAAAGAUUUUGUCGUUAUUGAAAAACUUCAGGAUUAGAAAACGAAGUGGAGAAAUUUCCGAAGAAAUUGAAAUGCAAUAUCUUCACGAAAAAUGGAAUACGAGUAAAGAUCUACUGUCAAAUAAAGAACGGAAAACAUUCGGCAAAAAACAUAAGAAGAAAGCGAGAAAAUAUUUCAUUUUUAAUCCUGCUAUCGGGAUUUUUUCAUUACCAUCUCUGAUACAUAAAAACACACUGAACCAAAACUUACCACUAAUCAGAAAGCGCUCGAUUUGAUUGAAAAUGUAACUAA